rnacentral:rRNA from 1 species
GCAUAUCAAUAAGCGGAGGAAAAGAAACCAACAGGGAUUGCCCCAGUAACGGCGAGUGAAGCGGCAACAGCUCAAAUUUGAAAUCUGGCCUCGGCCCGAGUUGUAAUUUGCAGAGGAUGCUUCUGGCGCGGCGCCUUCCGAGUUCCCUGGAACGGGACGCCACAGAGGGUGAGAGCCCCGUAUGGUCGGACGCCAAGCCAGUGUGAAGCUCCUUCGAAGAGUCGAGUAGUUUGGGAAUGCUGCUCUAAGCGGGAGGUAUACGUCUUCUAAAGCUAAAUACCGGCCAGAGACCGAUAGCGCACAAGUAGAGUGAUCGAAAGAUGAAAAGCACCUUGAAAAGGGGGUUAAACAGUACGUGAAAUUGUUGAAAGGGAAGCGCCUGUGACCAGACUUGCGCCGGGCGGAUCAUCCAGCGUUCUCGCUGGUGCGCUCCGCCCGGCUCAGGCCAGCAUCGGUUCUGGCGGGGGGAUAAAGGCGGCGGGAACGUGGCUCCCCCGGGAGUGUUAUAGCCCGCCGUGCAAUGCCCCCGCUGGGACCGAGGUUCGCGCAUCUGCAAGGAUGCUGGCGUAAUGGUCACCAGCGACCCGUCUUGAAACACGGACC